rnacentral:rRNA from 1 species
GAUGAACGCUGGCGGCGUGCCUAAUACAUGCAAGUCGAGCGAACAGACGAGGAGCUUGCUCCUCUGACGUUAGCGGCGGACGGGUGAGUAACACGUGGAUAACCUACCUAUAAGACUGGGAUAACUUCGGGAAACCGGAGCUAAUACCGGAUCAUAUAUUGAACCGCAUGGUUCAAUAGUGAAAGACGGUUUUGCUGUCACUUAUAGAUGGUUCCGCGCUGCAUUAGCUAGUUGGUAAGGUAACGGCUUACCAAGGCAACGAUGCGUAGCCGACCUGAGAGGGUGAUCGGCCACACUGGAACUGAGGCACGGUCCAGACUCCUACGGGAGGCAGCAGUAGGGAAUCUUCCGCAAUGGGCGAAAGCCUGACGGAGCAACGCCGCGUGAGUGAUGAAGGUCUUCGGAUCGGAAAACUCUGUUAUUAGGGAAAAACAAAUGUGUAAGUAACUAUGCACGUCUUGACGGUACCUAAUCAGAAAGCCACGGCUAACUACGUG